UCCCUGGUGGCUCAGACAGUAAAGCAUCUGCCUGCAAUGCAGGAGACUUGGGUUCGAUCCCUGGGUUGGGAA
rnacentral:tRNA from 1 species